rnacentral:tRNA from 1 species
GGGCUCAGUCGGUGGAGCAUGAGACUCUUAGUCUCAGGAUCGUGGCUUCGAGCCCCACGUUGGGCA